rnacentral:rRNA from 1 species
UACGGAGGAUGCGAGCGUUAUCCGGAUUUAUUGGGUUUAAAGGGUGCGUAGGCGGUUUUUUAAGUUAGUGGUUAAACGUCGGGGCUUCACCUUGAUUUGCCAUUAAUACUGUAAGACUCGAGUUCAGACGAGGUAGGCGGAAUAAGUUAAGUAGCGGUGAAAUGCUUAGAUAUAACUUAGAACUCCGAUAGCGAAGGCAGCUUACCAGACUGCGACUGACGCUGAAGCACGAGAGCGUGGGUAGCAAACAGG